GGGUCUGUAGCUCGGUGGGAGAGCUCAUGGUUUGCAUGCAGAAGUUCCCAGGUUCAAUCCUUGGUAUCUCCA